UUGUAAGUGCGAUUUUGUCCAAGAAAGAGAAGGCAGAAAUUUGCAACCACAAUUGUCAUGUUGCAAACCACCACCGCCGCCUCAAACCCAGACCAAUAGCCUAGUUUAACACCACCACCACCCAAUGAAGCAUAUUCAAUGCCAGCUCACCACCAUAGGCACCCAUAUCAAAUUGAACCACCAUCACCACCCAAGCGAAUUACUAAUUUCUCCGUCUAAAGCAACCACUUGGGAAUAUUUUCUGGAGUAUUCUAAACUCAAAUAUUUUUAAUAUUCAUUAGAUUUUUAAUGACCGAAAUGUUACAUUUGAAAACUUAAAAGCAUAAAAUAUUCCGGAGAACCAUAAAAUUUUCAUCUUCCAUAAUGGAAAGCAUCAUGUAUGCCUUGAUCACAUAAAGGCUUCUUUGUUGGUUUGGCUUUUUUAUUAGUAAGAUACAUCAUAUGAUUCUACUAAGUGGGUAUACUAAAAUUUUAGUCAUUUUUUGCAAAGA
rnacentral:lncRNA from 1 species